rnacentral:tRNA from 1 species
ACAGGAAGUAGUUUAAAAAAACUUUUACUUUGGGAGUAAAUAUUCACAUUCAUCUUGUGCUACCUGA